UUCGACCCUGCUGCCAUUGAUUAUGAUUUGUUCAAUAAGAGGAAGAAAAGUAAAACAGCUGUUACUGAACAGAAACUGCAAGAUGAAUUGACAGAAGACAAACAAAAACAUUUAUUAACUUUUGAAAACAAUCUUUCAAAGGAUCUUCUGGAUGAAUUUAGGAGUGCUUGGUUAAAUAAGACGUGGCCUAAGGACCUACAAAUGAGAGGCUUGUUUGAAUACUGGCUUGAUAUCAGUAGAAAACCUGGUUUUCAUUAAAAAAAUAAACCAACUGUCAAAGACGUGGCAGUGGUGAAUAUAAAUUUAAGUAAACUGAGACAAGAACAGUCUGUAGAAAAUUUGAAUAGUGAUCAAGCUUCUACGGAUAAUGAUUUCAAUCUCAACGAUCAUGAUCAUUUUUCUAAGGAAGAGUUUCCUUCACUGAUAAAUAAUCAUGUAUUGGACAAAGCAUCAGCUCCUGAGAUAUUAUAUGAAUUUGUAGUAGAAAAUGGUCAUGUAAAACUAGUCUCUCAAACUCAGACAGGUACAGAUGAAAAUUGCAAUUCAAAUUUGUUAGAGUUUGCUGAUGUUCUAAAAGAUAAUAACAUUCCAACACAAAGUUCAGAGAAAAUUGAAACAGAAAUUUGUGAUGAAUUAAUAUUCAAUUCAAAUGUGUUGGAUAUUAAUAAUCAAACAGAAGUUAAUGCUGAUGCUGGGAAUCCUUUUGACAACGCUUUUACACUUCCAACAAAUUAUGUACAGAAGAAAAAAAGAAGAAAAGUAGAAUCGUCAAGUAAAACCAAAA